rnacentral:rRNA from 1 species
CCUACGGGAGGCAGCAGUGGGGAAUAUUGCGCAAUGGGCGAAAGCCUGACGCAGCGACGCCGCGUGAGGGAUGAAGGUCUUCGGAUCGUAAACCUCUGUCAGCAGGGAAGAAUGGUCACUGUGCUAAUCAGCAGUGAAUUGACGGUACCUGCAAAGGAAGCACCGGCUAACUCCGUGCCAGCAGCCGCGGUAAUACGGAGGGUGCGAGCGUUAAUCGGAAUUACUGGGCGUAAAGCGCUCGUAGGCGGUAUGUCAAGUCAAGGGUGAAAUCCCCGCGCUCAACGUGGGAACUGCCUUUGAAACUGGCAAACUGGAGUGUGUGAGAGGAUAGUGGAAUGCCAGGUGUAGGAGUGAAAUGCGUAGAGAUCUGGAGGAACAUCAGUGGCGAAGGCGACUAUCUGGCACAUAACUGACGCUGAGGAGCGAAAGCGUGGGUAGCAAACAGGAUUAGAUACCCCGGUAGUC